rnacentral:rRNA from 1 species
GACGUAGGGCGCGAGCGUUGUCCGGAUUUACUGGGCGUAAAGGGCUCGUAGGCGGCCAACUAAGUCCGACGUGAAAUCCCAAGGCUUAACCUUGGAACUGCGUCGGAUACUGGAUGGCUUGAAUUCGGGAGAGGGAUGCAGAAUUCCAGGUGUAGCGGUGAAAUGCGUAGAUAUCUGGAGGAACACCAGUGGCGAAAGCGGCCACCUGGACUGCACCUGACGCUGACACGCGAAAGCUAGGGGAGCGAACGGG